CCUUCGGGAUGCCGGCGAGUGGCGAACGGGUGAGUAAUGCAUCGGAACGUACCCAGUAGUGGGGGAUAACUUACCGAAAGGUAAGCUAAUACCGCAUACGCACUGAGGUGGAAAGCAGGGGACCGCAAGGCCUUGCGCUAUUGGAGCGGCCGAUGUCGGAUUAGCUAGUUGGUGGGGUAAAGGCCUACCAAGGCGACGAUCCGUAGCGGGUCUGAGAGGAUGAUCCGCCACACUGGAACUGAGACACGGUCCAGACUCCUACGGGAGGCAGCAGUGGGGAAUUUUGGACAAUGGGCGCAAGCCUGAUCCAGCCAUGCCGCGUGAGUGAAGAAGGCCUUCGGGUUGUAAAGCUCUUUCGGCCGGGAAGAAAUCGGUGAGGCUAAUAUCCUCACUGGAUGACGGUACCGGAAUAAGAAGCACCGGCUAACUACGUGCCAGCAGCCGCGGUAAUACGUAGGGUGCGAGCGUUAAUCGGAAUUACUGGGCGUAAAGCGUGCGCAGGCGGUUUUGUAAGACAGGCGUGAAAUCCCCGGGCUCAACCUGGGAACUGCGCUUGUGACUGCAAGGCUAGAGUACGGCAGAGGGGGGUGGAAUUCCACGUGUAGCAGUGAAAUGCGUAGAGAUGUGGAGGAACACCGAUGGCGAAGGCAGCCCCCUGGGCCGAUACUGACGCUCAUGCACGAAAGCGUGGGGAGCAAACAGGAUUAGAUACCCUGGUAGUCCACGCCCUAAACGAUGUCAACUAGGUGUUGGGUGGGUAAAACCAUUUAGUACCGUAGCUAACGCGUGAAGUUGACCGC
rnacentral:rRNA from 1 species